rnacentral:rRNA from 1 species
UGGGGAAUUGUUCGCAAUGGGCGCAAGCCUGACGACGCAACGCCGCGUGGAGGAUGAAGAUCUUCGGAUCGUAAACUCCUGUCGAGCGGGACGAACGGCUCGGGACCUAACACGUCCCGGGGAGUGACGGUACCGCUAAAGGAAGCCCCGGCUAACUCCGUGCCAGCAGCCGCGGUAAUACGUAGGGUGCGAGCGUUAAUCGGAAUUACUGGGCGUAAAGCGUGCGCAGGCGGCUUUUUAAGCCAGACGUGAAAUCCCCGGGCUUAACCUGGGAAUGGCGUUUGGGACUGGAAGGCUUGAGUGCGGCAGAGGGAGGUGGAAUUCCUGGUGUAGCAGUGAAAUGCGUAGAUAUCGGGAGGAACACCGAUGGCGAAGGCAGCCUCCUGGGCCAGCACUGACGCUCAAGCACGAAAGCGUGGGGAGCAAACAGGAUUAGAUACCCUGGUAGUCCACGCCCUAAACGAUGUCAACUGGUUGUUGGUGGGGUUAAACCCAUUAGUAACGAAGCUAACGCGUGAAGUUGACCGCCUGGGGAGUACGGCCGCAAGGUUG